ensembl:lncRNA
AAGGUAUGCUUAGUUUGCCCCUGUCACUUUCUCCAGUUGCCAUGGCGAUGCCUAAUCUCAAUCAGAAAUCAAAAAAAAAAAAAAGGAGAAAGAAAGAAAAGAUAAGAGUGAUGACUGUUGGGUUAUUCUAAAGCCUCCAGGCCGGGGCCAGCUUGUGAUCAUCACCCAGGUAGACAGCGCUUGAAUGCCAGACUGUAAGACUAGGCUGGGAUCCCAGGAGCAUGGGAAGGCUGGAAUGAAGCUCCCUUGAAAAGGCAAAAAAAAAAAAAAGGGAAAGAUUUGUGGGGCAGAGCGAGGGAGGAGAAAGAUGAGGGGAGCCAGCGCUGUGUCUGAGAAAGAAGAAUCCAGGCGCCAACAGGGUAACAGCUGCCUCAGGAGCCAGUAUAUCUCGAGAAAUCCACAGAUGGAGAGACAGUGGCCAAGGACUUCCCAAAAGCAUCAGGAGAAAGAAGGUGACGAGCAAGGAAUUGUAGCCACAAUCACGGCAAAGGCACUGUGGCAAAAGAAUUAAUAGAUCAAAAGGAAAGGUAGUAAGUUGGAGACUCCAACAAGUGUCUACUGAUGUGCAUGUUUUGUCUCUUGACAAAUGAAUGAUCUAUUGCCCUCUCUCUUUAUAUGGAUCUAAAAUGGCCAAGGUGUUGGUGGAUGACCCAUAGGAUUCAGGGCUGGGUCAUCUUGACUCAGUGCUUCUGUUAGACAUACAGGUUGCAUUUAGUGGUGAGGAGGGCAUUUUUCCAGCUUUGGUUGACACAUCCGUUACAGCCUUUCCUGAUAAAAUCAGCUGUUGUUACAGUUAUUCAUGCCCCUGUUACUUCCUGAUUAGACUACUCUCAUGCACCCUUUAAGGGGCUCCCCUUCAAAUGUAUUCAGAAACAGCAAUUGGUGCAAAACGCUACUGCCAACGAGUUGACUGGAACUACCGGUAGAUGUUGAGAACAUGCAGUGCCCAUUUUGUUGUAUCUACACUGGUUACUAGUUUGUUUCUAGGCUCAAUUCAAGUUGCUGAUUUGGGCUUUUAAAGCCCUAAAUGACUUGAGAACUAGGUACCUUAAAAAGACCACUGUCUUCCAUACAUCCCCCCCCCCCAGCAUCUGAGGCCUUGAUACACAUUCCAUGGCAAUUAGCCCAUCAAAAAGCAUGACUGCCUUCAAAGAGGUCUGUGCCCAAUCAGAAAUCUGUACACUGUUGAGUUUUCCAAUCCCAUCCUUCAUUCUGAGACUCCAUGCCAUUAGUUAUAGGAACACAGUUUUGGAAACAUAGGAAUCUGUCUUGUACCAAGGCUAUUUAGCUCAGCAUUCUCUACAGGGACUGGCAGCCGUUCUCCAGUGUUUCUCUCCCUUUUCAACCUUGGAGAUACCCAGGACUGAACCCAGGACCUUCUGCAUGCAAGGCAGGUGCUCUCCUGCUGAGCCAUAGUCCUUUUAAACCACUGGUCCACAGAUUUGACGCAACCAUAAUGUAUGAAUUGGCAAAGGAGUACCACAUGUGUAUGCCAGCCGGUCACCAAGACUGUUUUCUGCGCAUCCUCCCCGAAUGGGCUUGGCUCACAAAUGGAGUAAUUCAGAAGAUUCUCUGUGGUUCAAAAAGCCCGCAACAGCUCCUGCCAUAAUGGAGGAGGUGGUCUCUAACCAAUGUAUCCAAAAUGCACAGAAUGAAAGUCUGCAAUAUAUUCUUCAUAGCCCGAUCUACAACUGAGUUACAUUGCGCUGUGGUAGUUUAAUUCCAGCAACUACUGUCCCCAUUUACACGCACCAGUGGAAGCAAAUUAGCUUAAAUCCAAGAACUCCAACUUAAGUGGGUUGUGAAUUGGGCUGCCCAGGUUAUAAUUUACUUUUUCAUCCAGCUCAAAUACUACCAAAGUGAAACACCAUCCUUCGGUGGUUGCAGAACAUCCUGCUGUGUAAUGUUUUCCGCCACAGUUGCUGUCUGGUAAGGAAACUACAAAUAUUUGGAAUUAAUGCCUGCCUUUUGAUGCCAAUUCUCUGAUUGCUACCAAAUAUGUUCACAGUGUAAACCAGUCACUUUCCUUUAAAUUCCAAGUCUAAACAUCACUGGGCACCAACAGCAGAGCUUGCUGGCUGCCCAGUUUGCAUUCUUUUCCCUCCUUAAAAAUACAUUUGGUUCCGCUGCAUGGAGUUGGACCAGUAAUAAAGUUAUUGUUGCACAUUUAAGUAUUUCUUUUCACUGCUUUGGUGAAACCGCUUGGGUAAUGCUUUGUUUGUUUGUUUGUUUGGUAAGUAGGAGAAAAUGUGUGUGAAGCCUUAAUAUAGAUUUUAUACAUUUUUUCCACUGUGCUUUAAGCUGCAUUAUUGUGAUUCUUAC